AACGCGAAGAACCUUACCCAGACUUGACAUGUAGAGGAAGCCGGUAGAAAUAUCGUCGCCCGCGAGGGUCUCUGCACAGGUGCUGCAUGGCUGUCGUCAGCUCGUGCCGUGAGGUGUUGGGUUAAGUCCCGCAACGAGCGCAACCCUUAUCACUAGUUGCCAACACGUAAUGGUGGGAACUCUAGUGAGACUGCCCGGGUUAACCGGGAGGAAGGUGAGGAUGACGUCAAGUCCGCAUGGCCCUUAUGUCUGGGGCUACACACGUGCUACAAUGGUCGGUACAGAGGGAUGCCAAGCCGCGAGGCGGAGCAAAUCCAAAAAGCCGGCCCCAGUUCAGAUUGUAGUCUGCAACUCGACUACAUGAAGUUGGAAUUGCUAGUAAUGGCGUGUCAGCUACAGCGCCGUGAAUACGUUCCCGGGCCUUGUACACACCGAUACUC
rnacentral:rRNA from 1 species